rnacentral:rRNA from 1 species
UACGUAGGGUGCGAGCGUUAAUCGGAAUUACUGGGCGUAAAGCGUGCGCAGGCGGUUUUGUAAGCCAGAUGUGAAAUCCCCGGGCUCAACCUGGGAAUGGCAUUUGGGACUGCAAGGCUAGAGUGUGGCAGAGGAGACUGGAAUUCCCGGUGUAGCAGUGAAAUGCGUAGAUAUCGGGAGGAAUACCGAUGGCGAAGGCAGGUCUCUGGGCUGACACUGACGCUCAUGCACGAAAGCGUGGGGAGCAAACAGG